GGAAUCUGUUGCUGCGUAUGACAUCUCUUGCAAGCUCCCAGAGAGAAUUGAUGGAGCAUACAGCUAGGGAAUAGGAUACCAUAGAAGCACAGAGGAAGAAUCCAGGCAAUCACCAGGAUGGGAAGGUUCAGCGUCCACUGGAUAUGGGACAAGAUCGCUUGGCAACCCUUGUGGAUUCUCCUUCUUCUGGAGGCGAAUUAUAGUUAUGGAUUUAUUGUCCCGGUGCAGCACUUCCACCAGCAGCAGCAACAGCAGCAGCUUUCUGACUCUCUUCGGUGACGGGUAUUCUUGGGUGGAUAAUACGGAUUACGUUGUUAUUGCUUAAGAAUACGCGUAGUCGAGGAGAGUACCGGCGGCGGGCAGGCAGGCAGGCAGCGCGACCGCCCCCAGCCCACCAGCUGGCUCCUCACCUCCUCUAGUUGCCAAGCCUCAGAGAUGUUUUUGUCUGUCUGUGUUCCUCACCCCUGGCCAUUCAUGCAAGCAGCCUUCCCUACCUGCACGCCGAGCUGCACUGCCUCGGGAAGAUACCAGCCUGUUACCCAGCUUAUCUGCAUGGUACAACUUCACCUUGUUCCCUCUUCUCACUCUGAGGGAUUAGCAUCCAAAGAAAACCAAAUUAGUCUUGUAUCAAUUCACCCAGGAAAGCGAGUAGCCAAAGCGACCAGAACGUUCCUGCUGGCAGAACUGAGUGCAGAAGGAGGCUGGCAGGGUGUGUUCUUUGUGCGCUGCCCAGCUCCACCACGCUCUCUCAGAGGCCCACGGGGACACCGUGGGUCCUGCUGUGGGGAACCAGACUCUCCUGUGCCCACAGGAAGCCUCACUUGCUGGCUCCAUGCUCCGUGUGGCAGUGCCAGUUAGGAUGUGUAUAAUACCUGCUUGGAUGUGUCUGUUGCUUUUCUCCAUAUGUCUUGUGGUCAUCUGCGAACUGAUGAGGAACCAUUCUGUUUCCAUUUUGCUGAUGGAAAAGGAGAGCCUUUGAGAGGCUGAGCGAUUUGUCCAGGAUUAUGCAGCAAAUCAAUGGGAGAAAAGGGGAUCAGGCCAUUCCACACAGGAGUGCCUUUAACUGUCCCAUGGGCUUUCUAGGGAAAGGCAUGCAGGUCCCCAAAGAGGCCACUUCCAGCAGUGUUCCUCCAUUAUUUCUGUCAGAUUAUUGCUGUGAACAGUGGGGAAAUGCAAAAUGAAUUAUUCAUUUCUCCUACUCCUAAAAUCAAUAGCUAUCAAAAUACAAAUACAAUUUAAAUCAAAAGGCACUUAUUGAGUGCAGAUCCUACUAAUUAGGUAUGAUUUCCCAACAAUUUCUUAAAUUAUUUAUCCAAGGGAUGGGUGGAAGGCACUUUAUAUGUCCCAGAGCGAAUAUUAUAAACCUCUUGUCAUGAUACAGAAAAUGUGAAAUGUAGUGCAAUGCGGUGUGAUUUGUAACCUUGAUGAACUAAUGUAAUAUCAAUAGACAUCAAUCUGUGCAAAAAAAAAAUCUGUCUCAUCAUACCAUCUAACAAGAUAUGUCAAAAGUCAAUAACCUUGUGAAAUGGACACGUAUCAGUGAAGGUUACAGACUUUGCUGCUAGGAAUCAAUUAAAAAUGUAAUACCCACUUGCAAUGGAAAUUACUACACCCUCACCAAAAAGGAGGUUUACAUCAUGCAUGGACAUUUGUCAUAAGGGCAGCUCCCUUUAGGCUGGCUGCUGGCUCUAGAAGCAAUUCCACUGUAAUAGAUGGCUUUUUGUUGUUUUUUUCUCAUGCUGGUAUUGCUUAGUUUAGCCCCAUUAUCAACAGGCAAAAAAUAUUUAUGCCAUAUCCAGUUAAAUAUAUUUUUAAAACCCAUGCAGAAAAGAGCCAAUGGUUUUGAAGAUUUUGGUGCAAAAAUUAGUGAGCAGCUCUCUUGUUAAAUGAAAGAUUUACAAUUGUCAGUCAAUAAUGUAGAUCAAUGUUCUUCAAUUUUUAAUCAUAAAGAUUUUUCUCAAACUUCUUUGGAUUUUAAUUUUCAAACUUAUACUCCCAUCCAUACAGCAGAUCUUAAGGUUCCACCACACCAACCAUGUGUCAAGUGAAAUUCUUGGUCCCAUCUUAUAGAUGUGAUGCCCACUCACCAAAUGCUUUCAAAUCAGUGAUUUAAAAGAAAAGUAUGGAAUAUUAUACAUGUUUUCUCCUCAGUUUUUGAAACUGCUUGAUAAAAUAUUCACCUUUUAGGCAUUUUACUUUGCCAAUGUCAUCUGAUAAUAAUUUUGGGGCAAGUGUUAACUUUGAGGCCAAAACUAAGUAUUUGAAGGGGGAGGGAGGUCCUAUGGCUUCAGAGACAGAAGUAUGUGUGGGGCUGAAGUAAAAUUAUCAGAGUAAUUCAGAGCUUAAAUUUUAUCUUGGUCCUUUCUUGUGUAGCCUUAAUGGUGAUCAGCUCCCAAGAAAGCCAUCAGGAGCCCGAGCAAAAAGCUGUAGUGGUCCAAAGUGCCUGUGUGGCUCAGCUGCUGCGGGCAGCCCGCGAUCGCACGGCAGCUCGGCAGUACUUCAGUGCAGUUGUGCUACCCAGGAUUCAAGGCAGAGCCAUAAUUCAGAAUUUCAUGGCAUUUUAAAGCACAAGUCAGAAUUUUAAUGGUUCUUCAACCUUCCUUAUUAGUUGCACAAUACGUGUCUUUCAGCCAGUGUUCUGCAAAUUCCUUCCCGGUGGUCUGCAAAAGACACGGAUUGAAAGUCAGAGCAUUGGAGGUGAAUGCCGGGUGUGUGGAAAUGGAUCUUGAAUUGAUGGGAGGAAUAAGGGAUUCUGAAAAAGCACUGCAAUAAGAUGGCAUGGGAUAAUAGGGGUAGUAGCAAAAAGUUUAAAAAAGCAUGCCAUUAUUAAAUUUGAUAUAUAGGAUAAAUUCAACCUGUUAUUCAGUUAUCCUGCUUGUAUUUUUGUUGGUUUUAAUUAAUAAAAGUUUGUCUGGCAGGUAUGAAAGCAAAGUUCAAUUUCUGAGUGUUUGAAUUAGAACUCCUAGCUGCAUCAAGUGAAAACAGGCAAUGCUGCAUUUAAUGUUUUGCAUUUUCUCAUUCGGUUUAAAUGUGAAUGAGCUAUCUGGAGGGAAUAUCCAACAUUGCAGAUACUGUUUAGUGAUAUAUUAUUCUUAUCUUCUUUUCUUCUAAUGCCUUUCAUACAUGCUAAAAAAGUGUGUGAUUGUAUGCAUGAUUGUAUAUUAGUGACUGCAAAGGUUACCUAAAUUGAGACCAUGGACUAAUUUUAUUUUAAAUGCAGGGUAGAAGCACAUCUGUUUCAAACAGAUUUGUGAAAUGCCUUUUGUGAGUUCAAAUCACAUACAGUAAUGACCACUUAAGUGAGCUCCUACACACACAACAAAUUAUUUGCAGCCUCGCUAACAAAUGCAUCUAUAAAAUAUCACUUGCAUUUUGGUGUUCUGAAAUAGGCUCGUCCUCUCCAUUGCCCUGGAAAAUUCAGCCCUCUGUUAUUGUGCAGAGGAUACUAAAGAAAAUCAUGUGUUUUUCCUCACGGAGGAUGUGUUAGCUGCUGUAUAACUGUACUCAAUAGAUAUUUUGUAUUUUGCUUCGGUCUUCCUUUGAGAGAGGCAUAACAUUUUUUUGAGUUGUAACUAACACUGUUUUCUCACCAUGAAUCGUUACAAUUUUAUAAGAUUCUGAAUAUAAUUGAGGUAAUAAAACCAAAGCAAACCGUGUA